UUAUUUGCAGGAGAUAAUGCUUUCUUUUGCAGGUUUUAGAAGAAGGGGUUAUUGCCCCAAAGCUCAGCCCUGGACAUUUACAUACAUCAGGUUAAUUGCUAGUGUAGUAGAAGGAAUGAAGGUGAUCAGAAUGCCAGUGAACCCAGACCUAGCAGCUGCUAGUCAAAGAAUUGGAGUCCAGAACAUCAUGGUCCUAAGGAGAUCAGGAAAGAGAGAAGAUAGAAGAAGACCUAUAUCUUAUUUUACAUCAGCUAGAGCAAAGCUAGUGCCUCAGCAGGAAAUGAAGACCUAAAACAUCGGAAUAAACCUAGCUCAGCAUGAGUUGGCAAAAUAACAGGACUGGAGUGUAACUGUCACAUUUGAAUAUAACUGCUUUGCAAAUAGGGCCCAGCCCCCACCGACCAGACAGAAAACCAAACCAAGGGCCUCAGCAAAAGGUGAUAAAUAAAAUGGGAGUAAAUUGUGAGGGAUAAAAUAAUAUUUUGCUUCAGGCAUAAAGAAUAUAUUCUUAAUGUCACAUAGGCAAAGAUGUAGCUAGCAUGAGGCUGGGACUCAUGAAUGUAGGGGGAAGGAAAAGGGGAGUUAACUGAUGUUUGUUAGGAGGGAGAUAAAGGGGAGAGUGAAGAAGGUGUUGGUUUGAGUGCAGUAGGUGGUCAGAAAGAAUGUAAGUUCCUGAGUACCCAGGCAGUGGGAAAGGGGUCAGGGAUGCCCCAUGGCUGGGGCAGGGCAUAAAAGUUUGUACAUUUCAGGGGGAGGUGUGCCUCCUCAGUGAGAUGCACCUGACUCAGCUGCCGUGUUUAUAUUGAUAAACAGUUUUGCUUCAAUGACUUUGUUCUCUUUCAGCUUUAUUGGUGAGUGAGUGUUUCUCACACUGUGAAAGAAAGGGAGAGGGUAGGAAAUUGGAGCUGGAACCUGGCUUAAUAUUUUCAUUCAUGACCUGGGUAAAGUGAAGAGAUGUGCACUUCUUACAUCACUGAUGAUGUCACUGUGGAGCCUGGGUGCAGAGAUCACACCAUCUUCUGGGCAGAGCAGGAGGAAUGAAGUGACAGAAUGGGGCUGAGGUGACAUCACACUCCUGGGGAUUUACAGAAAAAGUCUGUUAAGAAGAAGUUAUAUAUUAAAAAAAAAAAACAAACCAAAAAUAGGAAUUGGUUCUUUGAAUGGCUGUUACUUGUCAGCAUGAUGCAUUUGGGAACACAAGGAAAAAGGCAGAGAGAAGAAGGAAAAAUGAUGCUGUGGUUCAAAAUGCAACCAAAAAUACAACGUCCCACAUGCGCUUUUAUCUGAGUUUUUGAAAUCAUUGAAAGAUACAAUGACUGAAAUUAGUGUUUCAAUCCUCUAAGCACAAACUUUAUCACGUGAGCUGUGAAUACACAUCACACAAGGCACCAAAACUGGGAGAACAGAAUUUCUAGCAGAAAGUUGGAAGCAUAAGACCUUGUGCUUGUCCCUUGUGGGAUAUUGUAUUUUUGCUGUGACAUGCUGGAACCUGUGCAAAAGUGAUGUUGAAGUUUUUAUGUAAAGUUACAGUAAGGCAUGUUUGCAAAUUACUCUCCCCCCCGUGUUUAUUUGCAUAAAUGAUUUUUGAUUUGUUUUUGGUGUUAAAAAGUGAUUGUUUUUAAUGCAGUGCUCAAGUGGUACUGUAAGUAACCUUGCAAAAGUUUUGUAUUAAUGUGUAAUUUUCAUGUAAUGCUUCACUACACUGAGUCUUUCAUAAAAUCCUCCUUUUGCCAAUGUCCCUGUGUUAGGGAAUUGUGGGAAU